GUCUUCUUGAUAAAAUAGGAAGUCUGACCUGCCCAGUGAAAAUAUUUUAACGGCCGCGGUAUAUUGACCGUGCAAAGGUAGCAUAAUCAUUAGUCUUUUAAUAGAGGGCUGGAAUGAAGGGUUUAACGAAGUACUUACUGUCUCAUUUAAUUUGAUAUUAAAAUUUACUUUUUCAGUCAAAAAGCUGAAAUAUUAUUGGAAGACGAGAAGACCCUAUAGAGCUUUAUAUUUAAUUUUUUUAAUAAAUUUUUGUUAUAAUUAUUAUUUAUUAUUCAAUAAAAUAUUUUGUUGGGGUGACAAAAAUAUAUAAUCAACUUUUUUAUUUAUAUAACAUUGAUAUAUGAAAAAUAGAUCCAGUUUUACUGAUUAUUAGAAUAAGUUACCUUAGGGAUAACAGCGUAAUCUUCCUUUAGAGUUCAUAUUCACAGGGAGGCUUGCGACCUCGAUGUUGGAUUAAGAUUAUAAUUAGGUGUAGCCGCUUAAAAAAUAGGUCUGUUCGACCUUUAAAUUCUU
rnacentral:rRNA from 1 species